AUCUCGUGUGUCACGCAUGCGCCCGGGGCUCUUGGCGCGUCCGAGGCAGAUUUAGUGGCGUUAGCGGCCAGAGAGUGCGCGCGCGGCACCGCAUUUUCGUCACCGAGCUCUCUUCGGCGUCCCUCCACAGAAAUCAGUCGUUGUUGACGAUCGUUUCGUGCUGGUCCCGUUUGCUCGUUCUCAAAUCUUCGUUCCUCGUCGGCUUUCCUCCAGCGUUCGCCACCUUUUCAACCGCGUUUGUGGUACCUGAGUGUUUCGAAACGCGUUUGUCGGAUAGGACGCGCUGCCUAAGUCCGUGUUCGUGUCUGUUUGUGAACCUAUCUCGUACCUGUGUAAUUAUCUAUAAACUUUAUCGUCGAUUUAAAAUUUCUUUCUGCGUUCGAUCACAAUAUACGUGCCGCCAAUAAUCCAUCGUUGACAUUCAAAGGGCAGUCACAGUCGGAGGAGAACAUCGAACAGACGCCAUCAUUGUAUGAAUAUCAUCAACGCAGCGAGCAUAAUUUGUUCAGUGGCUUUAUUUUAUGUGUAUUUGAUAACAUAAAUAUUAAAUUACACCCAAAAACAGCUUGGUUGAGAGUACAUAAUAAUAGUUGAUUGUUCAGCAACCAUCAAAGGAUCAUAUUCCAUUGGUAUUCCACUGCGAUACUACAUCUGAUGCAUCCAUAACUAUUUGUAAUCACAUUAAACUGUAAAUGUGAAGAAGAUAAUAUUGAAGGAAUAUUAUUCAACAACUUUUCACAGUACAAAAAUCCUGUUAACUUUUUGGUUCUAUCAACAUUAAACAGUAUCAACUUGUUCAAUUUCAAAUCUUACUCCACAAAUACAGGCUUAUGAUUGGAAGAGGAAAGUUUUCAACAUUUCGCAGUAAAUCGCACUCGAUUCAGUUUCUUAAUCCGGAACCAAUAACUUUGAAGGUAUAUAAUGUGGCGACAUGCAAAAGCUUCACUUUCACAAUACUGCCCAAUAAAAAAUGUCUUCGGCGAUUACACGGCAAAGCUCAUGCUUAUGACACGUCUUCGUAAUCGUAAACUGAGCUUUACCCAGUUUUUUAAAAAAGCUGAUGAACUUAAUGAUCCGUUAUUGAGUAAUGACUUCACAAAUAACGACGACGACGACGGUUCUGAUUGUAGUUCCGAAUGUUCUGAAACACACACGACUGAUACUAUGAAUACUGAUUUGUAAAUUUAAAAUGAUUAUAUUUUAACUAUACUUAUUAAGUACAUAUGUAAUACAUUUAAUUAAUAAAAACGUACAAAUGAUAUGAAUUUUCAAUGUGUUAUAAUUUCAAGACUAAUGAUAAUAUGCUCAAAUUUAUAUUGACACCGUCCAUUUUAAAACGUUGAUUUACAUAAUAUUAUAUCGGUUUCAGAAAUAAAAAAAAGUUCGAAAUUCAAAGUGUAUUUUGUACUGUUUGAACCCUUUACCCAUGAUUACACUAAUCACAAUAACUACCUACGACUAAAGCCACAUUGUUAAGGCAAG